rnacentral:rRNA from 1 species
AGCGAACGCUGGCGGCAGGCCUAACACAUGCAAGUCGAACGAACUCUUCGGAGUUAGUGGCGGACGGGUGAGUAACACGUGGGAACGUGCCUUUUGGUUCGGAAUAACUCAGGGAAACUUGUGCUAAUACCGAAUGUGCCCUUCGGGGGAAAGAUUUAUCGCCAUUAAAGCGGCCCGCGUCUGAUUAGCUAGUUGGUGAGGUAACGGCUCACCAAGGCGACGAUCAGUAGCUGGUCUGAGAGGAUGACCAGCCACACUGGUACUGAGACACGGCCCAGGCUCCUACGGGAGGCAGCAGUGGGGAAUCUUGCGCAAUGGGCGAAAGCCUGACGCAGCCAUGCCGCGUGAAUGAUGAAGGUCUUAGGAUUGUAAAAUUCUUUCACCGGGGACGAUAAUGACGGUACCCGGAGAAGAAGCCCCGGCUAACUUCGUG